rnacentral:snoRNA from 1 species
AACCCAUGGUGAGGGCACCUUCUAAAUAGGUCCUUGUAUCUCUUCCAUGCAUCAUAGAAGGCCUCUAGAUCUAUCUUCACAAAAGAAGAGAUAUCGUUCCUCAAUUU